AUUCACAGUUUUUGUCUUGCAUGACAAAUUUCUUUGUUUCGAAACCGGCGUCGUCGAGCCGGCCGCGUCGUGGAUCUUAAACGGCUCUCGAAUGCCUUCCUAACCAGACCCCAUUUCAAUUGAAAGGAGGAUAUUAUUAAGCUAAUUUUUUGUCAAUCAAUUUAACGUGUGAGUAACAUUUUGUUGUUAAUUGACUUUCAAACUGUUUCCAACUUUGGAGAACGUUAGUUUCAUGGCCCAACGGAGCGAUUCAUGGCAACGCGGAGCGAUUUUUCGAUUUAGUCACUGACCGAUAACUUUGAUCCUAGUUUAAGUUUUCCAAAUAUGUAGAAGCGCUAUAACAUUUUGAGUU